rnacentral:rRNA from 1 species
GACGAACGCUGGCGGCGUGCUUAACACAUGCCAGUCGAACGGAAAGGCCCUGCUUUUGUGGGGUGCUCGAGUGGCGAACGGGUGAGUAACACGUGAGUAACCUGCCCUUGACUUUGGGAUAACUUCAGGAAACUGGGGCUAAUACCGGAUAGGAGCUCCUGCUGCAUGGUGGGGGUUGGAAAGUUUCGGCGGUUGGGGAUGGACUCGCGGCUUAUCAGCUUGUUGGUGGGGUAGUGGCUUACCAAGGCUUUGACGGGUAGCCGGCCUGAGAGGGUGACCGGCCACAUUGGGACUGAGAUACGGCCCAGACUCCUACGGGAGGCAGCAGUGGGGAAUAUUGCACAAUGGGCGGAAGCCUGAUGCAGCAACGCCGCGUGCGGGAUGACGGCCUUCGGGUUGUAAACCGCUUUCGCCUGUGACGAAGCGUGAGUGACGGUAAUGGGUAAAGAAACACCGGCUAACUACGUG